GCCGUCGUGGUGUAACGGUAGCAAAUUCGGCGCGUAUUCGAGAGGUCUAGGUUCGAAUCCCGGCGAAGGCA
rnacentral:tRNA from 1 species